rnacentral:rRNA from 1 species
UACCGAGGGUGCGAGCGUUGUCCGGAAUCACUGGGCGUAAAGAGUGUGUAGGCGGUGUUCUAAGUCUGUUGUGAAAUCUCCCGGCUCAACUGGGAGGGUGCAGCGGAAACUGGAAUGCUAGAGUGUGGGAGAGGUAAGCGGAAUUCCUGGUGUAGCGGUGAAAUGCGUAGAUAGCAGGAGGAACACCUGCGGUGUAGACAGCUUACUGGACCACGACUGACGCUGAGACACGAAAGCGUGGGUAGCAAACAGG